rnacentral:rRNA from 1 species
UUAUGGCUCAGAUUGAACGCAGGCGGCAGGCUUAAUACAUGCAAGUCGAACGGUAGCAGCAGGAAAGCUUGCUUUCUGGCUGACGAGUGGCGGACGGGUGAGUAAUACCUGGGAAACUGCCUAUAAGAGGGGGAUAACACCUGGAAACGGGUGCUAAUACCGCAUAAACCCUGAGGGGAAAAGGAUGGGAAACCAUGCGCUUAUAGAUGUGCCCAGGAGGGAUUAGCUAGUUGGGGAGGUAAAGGCUCACCAAGGCGACGAUCUCUAGCUGGUCUGAGAGGAUGAUCAGCCACAUUGGGACUGAGACACGGCCCAAACUCCUACGGGAGGCAGCAGUAGGGAAUAUUGCACAAUGGGGGAAACCCUGAUGCAGCCAUGCCGCGUGUGUGAAAGAAGGCCUUCGGGUUGUAAAGCACUUUCAGCGGGGAGGAAGCUGAAGUUCGAACAGGGCAGAAAGCAGACGUUACCCGCAGAAGAAGCGCCGGCUAACUCCGUGCCAGCCGCAGC